ensembl:lncRNA
CGGGCCUUGGAGGACUCAGCCCAGCUGUUCUGCAUGUGCUCUUUGGUGGAAGCCCAGAAGAAGUCAUGAUGAAAAUAUCAAGGACUGUGCCGACCUCGAUAUCCACAAGACAGUCAAAGUGUCACAUGUGAGAACAGAAGAUGCUGCUGGACAAGCUGAUGCUCCACGCAGUACUUGGAAGAAGCUCAAGACGGGUUAAACAGUUACGAAGGGGCUUAAAAGAGACGCUGAUCUGGCCUUUGCUACCUGAGAGGAAAGACACAAUUCCCUCCUCUUUCCAAGAGCAUGUGAUGUACAGCGCACACCACAGCAUCUGUCAGCAUCCUUGGGAAACUCCUACAGUUGUGGAUAGGAUGGAAUGUGCUCCCCAGACACCAGCUGGAUAUCAGCGUGGUGGAGAGCAACUUCUCCACUUCCUCCACCUGCUUCCACCAGCUGAAGCUUCCAGUACAAAGACUACUGCCACUCUGAAAUGGACCUUCUUGCUGCUACUUGUAGGACACUGUUUUUGGGUUGGUCUAAGGACUCUGUCCAUCAAGAUAACACUUUGUAUGUGCACUUUAGAGCUGCAAUGAAUAGUCAACUAAAUCGACUACGUCGAUUGUGAAAAAUUGUCGACGUGGAUUUUUAACGUCGCGCGUCAUAUAUUUUAUGUCAGAGCUGCCGGUAAUUUUCAUUCAGCAUUGCAAUGCACUACCGGAAGUGCAGGGGGCAGUAUGGCUUACAUUGUCUAUAUGCACCAAGGCAUAGACAUACUUACACCAAGGCAAAGAAGAAGAACGAUUUUGAAUCACGGCGGAACAGAGCUCGACCGAGAGCUUCAAAAGUCUGGGAAUAUUUUACCAGCAAACAAAAUCUACAGCUACAAAUGGGGACUCCUGAACACAAACUUGUCCAAGAUGUCAGUACCAGGUGGAACAGCACCUAUCACAUGAUUAGUCGCCUACUGGAACAGAGGUGGCCAGUCACUGCAGCCCUUUCUGACCCGGCAACACAGAGAGGGAAACAAUACCUGGACCUCAAAAGCGAUCAGUGGACCCUUCUCCAAGAACUGGCCCAAGCUCUCCAGGCCUUUGAAUGUGCCACUGUGUACUUGAGUGGUGAGAGUUAUGUGACAGUCUCUGCACUGCCUCCUCUGGUCAAAGGGCUUCUGAAGUCCACCCACACUUCUUAUGAGACAACUCCUGUGCAGGCCUUCCAGGCAGCUGCUUCAAAGGAAACCACUACACGGUGGUCAGGAGAGGUCACCUUCACCGAUGACAAACAGAGCAAACAGAUCAUUGCAGCCGCAUUUGACCCACGAUUUCUACAACUGAAAUACCUGACACCAGACGAGAGGUUCAGUGUUCAAAACAAGGUACAAGC